GUUCCUGUAGCACAAUGGAUACCGCGCGCGUUGGACUUCUAAUGCAAAGGUCGUGGAUUUGAAUCCCACCUGGGAUG